AUGUCUCUGCAAAUGGCAGGAAGGAUGAAAGUCACUGACUGAGCAUAGCAGGCCCCAGCUGGAGCCAGAACAGCAAGACAGGCUGCAGCAAGAGGCUGUGGGGAGACCCCAGCAUGACUUCCCAGAGAAGAGAAGAGCCCAUUCCUGCCUGGUACAGUCCCUGCAUCAGUUCUCCGAUGGCCCAGAGCCUGAGCUCACAAGAGCUCCCAGAGUGGAAACUGUCCCAGGCCCCAGCACGGGCUCAGGCAGAUAGGACACUCCUGGGAGAUGUGUGUUGAGUGGAAUAAAGGCAAGAGGGAAUCAAA